UACGAAGGGGGCUAGCGUUGUUCGGAUUUACUGGGCGUAAAGCGCACGUAGGCGGACUCUUAAGUCGGGGGUGAAAUCCUGGAGCUCAACUCCAGAACUGCCUUCGAUACUGAGAGUCUUCGAGUUCGGGAGAGGUGAGUGGAACUGCGAGUGUAGAGGUGAAAUUCGUAGAUAUUCGCAAGAACACCAGUGGCGAAGGCGGCUCACUGGCCCGAUACUGACGCUGAGGUGCGAAAGCGUGGGGAGCAAACAGG
rnacentral:rRNA from 1 species